CGCGUAGGCGGGAAUACAAGUCAGAUGUGAAAUCCCAGAGCUCAACUCUGGAAACUGCAUCCGAAACUGUAUUUCUUGAGGGUAGGCGGAGAAAACGGAAUUCCAUGUGUAGCGGUGAAAUGCGUAGAUAUAUGGAAGAACACCCGUGGCGAAGGCGGUUUUCAGCUUAUUCCUGACGCUGAGGCGCGAAAGCAAGGGGAGCGAACA
rnacentral:rRNA from 1 species